GGACGAACGGCUGGCGGCGUGCUUAACACAUGCAAGUCGAACGAAGCAGCAGUGAAGGAGGCUUCGGCCAAUGGAUCUGUUGACUUAGUGGCGGACGGGUGAGUAACGCGUGAGCAACCUGCCUUUCAGAGGGGGAUAACGUUUGGAAACGAACGCUAAUACCGCAUGAAGUAUCUUUGCUGCAUGACAGAGAUACCAAAGGAGCAAUCCGCUGAAAGAUGGGCUCGCGUCCGAUUAGAUAGUUGUGGGGUAACGGCCUACCAAGUCGACGAUCGGUAGCCGGACUGAGAGGUUGAACGGCCACAUUGGGACUGAGACACGGCCCAGACUCCUACGGGAGGCAGCAGUGGGGAAUAUUGCACAAUGGGCGAAAGCCUGAUGCAGCAACGCCGCGUGAGGGAAGACGGUUUUCGGAUUGUAAACCUUUGUCCUUGGUGAAGAUAGUGACGGUAGCCGAGGAGGAAGCCACGGCUAACUACGUGCCAGCCGCCGC
rnacentral:rRNA from 1 species